CGCGAAAGUCCCCUUCGGGGGACAAGUAGAGUGGCGCACGGGGUGAGUAACACGUAGGUAAUCUACCUUCGGAUGGGGAAUAACAAUCGGAAACGGUUGCUAAUACCGCAUAAUGCAGCGGCACCUAAUGGUGACAGUUGUUAAAGCGGGGGAUCGAAAGACCUCGCGUCUGAAGAGGAGCCUGCGGCGGAUUAGCUAGUUGGUAAGGUAAUGGCUUACCAAGGCAACGAUCCGUAACCGGCCUGAGAGGGCGGUCGGUCACACUGACACUGACACACGGGUCAGACUCCUACGGGAGGCAGCAGUCGGGAAUUUUGGGCAAUGGGCGAAAGCCUGACCCAGCAACGCCGCGUGAAGGAUGAAAUCCCUCGGGAUGUAAACUUCGCAAGAACGGGAAGAAUAAGCCGGUGUAAAUAUCACCGGUGAUGACGGUACCGUUUGUAAGCUCCGGCUAACUCCGUGCCAGCAGCCGCGGUAAUACGGGGGGAGCAAGCGUUGUCCGGAUUUACUGGGCGUAAAGGGCGCGUAGGCGGCCAGCACAAGUCAGUUGUGAAAUCUCCGAGCUUAACUCGGAAAGGUCAACUGAUACUGUGCGGCUAGAGUGCGGAAGGGGCAACUGGAAUUCUUGGUGUAGCGGUGAAAUGCGUAGAUAUCAAGAGGAACACCUGCGGCGAAGGCGGGUUGCUGGG
rnacentral:rRNA from 1 species